rnacentral:lncRNA from 1 species
GAUGGAAAAUUUAGCAAGUGUACUAAAUAGUCGUCAAGUAGUAUAAUAAAAUCGUUCUCUCCGCAGGGAUUGUUCUAAAUCAAUUGUAAAUUUGAAGACAUACUCAUGUAAAUUGACAUAAAUUGUAAAAAGGGGGUUCUUGUUUGGUUUCAAGUUCAAAUUUUUAAACUUUGGAAUUGCUUUGGUGUUUAGAUUGAUGUAAGAAAAGCGAUUGGUCCUUUUUGGGUCAUCUAAUUACUAUUUCUCUUGGUAA